rnacentral:rRNA from 1 species
AGUCGAGCGGAGAUUUUUGAAAGCUUGCUUUUAAGAUAUUUUAGCGGCGGACGGGUGAGUAACGUGUGGGCAACCUGCCUCAUACAGUGGAAUAAUCAUGUGAAAACGUGACUAAUACCGCAUGUCAUUGCUGGAAGGCAUCUUCCGGUAAGAAAAGGAGUAAUCCGGUAUGAGAUGGGCCCGCAUCUGAUUAGCUAGUUGGUGAGAUAACAGCCCACCAAGGCAACGAUCAGUAGCCGACCUGAGAGGGUGAUCGGCCACAUUGGGACUGAGACACGGCCCAAACUCCUACGGGAGGCAGCAGUGGGGAAUAUUGCACAAUGGGGGAAACCCUGAUGCAGCAACGCCGCGUGAAGGAAGACGGUUUUCGGAUUGUGAACUUCUAUCAAUAGGGACGAAAAAAAUGACGGUACCUAAAUAAGAAGCCCCGGCUAACUACGUGCCAGCAGCCGCGGUAAUACGUAGGGGGCAAGCGUUAUCCGGAAUUACUGGGUGUAAAGGGUGAGUAGGCGGCAUGAUAAGUAAGAUGUGAAAGCCCGCAGCUUAACUGCGGGAUUGCAUUUUAAACUAUUGAGCUAGAGUACAGGAGAGGAAAGCGGAAUUCCCAGUGUAGCGGUGAAAUGCGUAGAUAUUGGGAAGAACACCAGUGGCGAAGGCGGCUUUCUGGACUGAAACUGACGCUGAGGCACGAAAGCGUGGGGAGCGAACAGGAUUAGAUACCCUGGUAGUCCACGCCGUAAACGAUGAGUGCUAGGUGUCGGAGGGGAACCUUCGGUGCCGCAGCAAACGCAAUAAGCACUCCACCUGGGGGAGUACGAUCGCAAGAUUGAAACUCAAAGGAAUUGACGGGGGGCCCCGCACAAGCGGUGGGAGCAUGUGGUUUAAUUCGAAGCAAC